CCGGGUAUAGCGCAGUUGGUAGCGCGCGCGCUUUGGGAGCGUGAGGCCGAGAGUUCAAGUCUCUCUACUCGGACCA
rnacentral:tRNA from 1 species